rnacentral:rRNA from 1 species
GACGAACGCUGGCGGCGUGCUUAACACAUGCAAGUCGUACGGUAAGGCCCUUUCGGGGGUACACGAGUGGCGAACGGGGGAGUAACACGUGAGUAACCUGCCCACAACUUUGGGAUAACGCUAGGAAACUGGGGCUAAUACUGGAUAUGUGCUCCUGCUGCAUGGUGGGGGUUGGAAAGCUCCGGCGGUUGUGGAUGGACUCGCGGCCUAUCAGCUUGUUGGUGGGGUAGUGGCCUACCAAGGCGGCGACGGGUAGCCGGCCUGUGGGGGUGACCGGCCACCUUGGGACUGAGAGACGGCCCAGCCUCCGACGGGAGGCAGCAGUGGGGAAUAUUGCUCAAGGGGCGCCAGCCUGAUGCAGCAACGCCGCGUGCGGGAUGACGGCCUUCGGGUUGUAAACCGCUUUCAGCAGGGACGAAGCUUUUUGUGACGGUACCUGCAGAAGAAGCACCGGCUAACUACGUG